UUCGAGUGGAAACCCUCACGGCCGCCGGUGGUGGGCCCCGGCGCGGCGCUGGGCUCCGGCGGGUCUGCGCUGGGGAGGGCCAGGGCCCCUGAAGCCGGCGUCCCUCUUAGGGGACGCGCCUGGGUGUGUCUUCACCGUUUGCCUGGUGAGUUGGAGACAGGGUCUCGCUCCGUCGCCCAGGCUGGAGUGCAGUGGUAGGAUCAGGGUUCAUUGUAGCCUCCGCCUCAGCCUCUGGAGUAGCUGGGACCUCAGGCGCGCGCCACCACGCCCGGCUAAUUUUUAAAAUUUUUUUGUAGAGACGGGGUUGGGGGAGGCGGGGGUUAGGGUUGUCCUGGCUGGUCUUGAACUGCGAGGCCUCAGGUGAUCCGCCUGCCUUGGCCUCCCAAAGUGCUGGGAUUACAGGCAUGAGCCACUGUGCCCGGCAAGCAGCUGUUAUAAAUAAAAUACAUGCUGAGCCUGCAAUUUGCUCUUAAUGAAGGCCACUUGUCAGUAGACGGUGCUGCUAAUGCGUGUCCUGCAGCAAAGAUAACCCAGACGGGAUCAUUUUUUAAUUGCCCAGCAGAACUUUAACCAGUUGUGCAUCUUAACCUGCUUUUUGUUUGUUCGUUUGUUUGUUUUGAGACAGUCUGGCCCUGUCGCCCAGGCUGGAGUGCCAUGGCGCGAUCUCGGUUCACUGCAGCCUCCACCUCCCGAGCACAGGCGAUCCUCCCGCCUCAGCCUCCAGAGCACCUGGGACCACAGGUGUCCACGCGCAGCCACUAACCGCUUUCU
rnacentral:lncRNA from 1 species